GAUUGGACUCACCGAGCCCUAAACAAACAGCGCUAGCCGAAGGGUGCCAGGCUGUGGGUCGGAACUGCUCUCUACAAGCUGCUGGGUGCGGAGCUCACAAAAGGGAUUUCUUUCGACAAGCUGGACAUUGGAAGAAGGCUGCAGGAAGGGAAUUGAACAGGAGAAACACUCUUGUGGGAGUGGAUUCUUACAGGAAUAUCCCAGUCACUGUGGCUUCGGCGUGGCUGCAUUUCUGAAAGUAGAAAACUCUGGAAUGGAGAGACUAGCAGCUGGAACAGGAUUCGAAGGCUUUAAAUUUUAACCCGAGUUCGAUCGAAAGUUACUACCACAAGAGACUGGCACGGGCCGGCCCAAUUCCCACCACGGCUUCCAGCGGCUUGCUUUGGGUUGUCCGCUAGGCAUCGAAGACUAGAGAACACACUGACCCUGGCGCCUCUGGGACAGAGGUGAGGAGUUUGACCCACACGAACAGAUUCGACAACAUUCGGACUCUAGCGGCUGGGGAAGAAACCCAUAAUUUUACCAUCCUCAUUCCCAAUCAUUUUAGUAGUGCCUUCAACCACAAGAAAAAAACGAUAGGUCAUUGUUUUUCCUUUCAGGGCUCAAAAUUCACCUUUAAACUUUUUUUUAAAGGCUAGCUUUCUGAAAGAGGAAUAGGUUAGAGAAAUAUUUUUUUUCCAUCUCAGUUAAUGUAAAAAUAAAACCUGUCCGGUUGACUAAG
rnacentral:lncRNA from 1 species